GCUGCACCGCGCGGGCCCUGAGGGCAGCCGUGGCGAUGCCGGCGCCGGUGGUCUGGUUCCCUGUCUGGGGCCUUCUUUGCCUGGCCCUCGCCCGCCCGCAGCCCGGCGCUGGGGACAUCACGUAGCCAAGGGUGACGAAGCCACCGUGGACCUGGGUGUCGCCGCCGCAGCUGGUGGCCGGAGCCGGCGCUCUGGGUUAGCUGGGCCCAGAAGGCAGGAGGCUUUCCUGCCCAGUAAAAAACUUGUCAGAGUCUUGGCACAGGAGUCUCAAGAAGAAGAUGAAAGCUGAGGGAAUUCUCUUUAUUCUGCAGAGCUACAGACUCCCUGUUUGCUAAGAAUACAUGAAAUCUUCUGGAGCUGAACUGUAAUAGAACAGCAAAACUGCACUUUUGCCUCACCAGCUGAAGCACAGUCACAAAAAAAACAUAUAAUGAGAUAGAGUAACAUAGAAAGUUUGUCAUGCCUGCUGCUGCAGUGGGAACUCCCACACUUGUCCAACAUUAGGAGGCUGCCCCAGUGUAAACACAUCUGAUAAAGUAGCUGAAAACUACACGGGUCAAAGGCUUCUAAUUCCAACCUGUUAUGUCGUAGGUUAAGAAACUGUAAGCUGCAGUGAGGAAUAUGGAUCACUGCACACAAAACAGGCAACAGAAAACCAAGGACACAUAUGUGCUUGACAUCAACACUGCUGCCUCUGAGUUGUUCUCAAACCAACAAAAACAUUUCAGUGGCUGGAAAAGAUGAACAGGCCUUGUUGCCAAGUCAUGGCCCAAACUAUUCCAGAGGGCAGAAAAGACAGCUGGGCUGCUGGUAAAGAACAAGGCUAUUUAAGGAGACUCAUCCUAGCCUAAUGGAAAAUGCAAGGAUAUAAUUAUCAAUUAUUCCAAACUAAACCAACAUUUCAGAGCCAGGAAAAGAAAAAAACCUACUCCACGAGGAAGCACAAGAAAGAAGCUAGUUAGAGUCAGCUCAGUUCAGGUACAACAAGAGGAGAAUGUGGUAUUUCUUAGAAGAAAGAGAAAAUGAGAUGUUUUCCACAAGAUAGUGAUUCUGGACCUACAAAGCAAACUGUGAAUGCAGCUGCACUGUUGUUCCAAGCACUGACACAAAGCUGACUUGAUCACAGGGGCUUGGGAUAUCACAAGGCAGCCACAAAAACGGUCAGUGGAACACAGCUAAAGAAAUGCUUUUUAAAUGCAUAAUCAGAUGUUUGUAUCUCCAGGCCAUACUGAGGAGCUGCCUUCUCUUUCAGCCCUCUGGGCAGGCUGCUCCUUGUGCGUUGCAAAGUGUUCCAUACUGAGAAUUCCUGUGCAGGAUUCUGGCUGUCACCCAGAAUGGAUGUUACAGAGCAAACACACAAAGCCAUGUAAACAACGCUCCUAGGCUGUGUGAGGAGGGCCCAGGACUGUCAAGGAGGGCUCAGAGCUGGAAUCUCUUGGAGAUAAAGGUCUUGAGCAGGACCCUCCAGCACAGCCCUGUCUGCUGCAAAAAGCCCACCUCUGCUGAACUUCUCACUGCUCAUUUACCCUGUCUUGGGCACAGAUUGCCACCAGCAUCAGACUUCUGAAUGGCUGCCCCAUCAGAUGCUCAGCAGACACAGCAGCAUCUAACCUGAUUUGUGAUGGGGCAGGGCAGCAGAAAGUGUUUCAUUUACCUUUAACAGGAAUGCUGCAUUCAGAGCAUGAUGCCUGAUACAAAAAAGGGCUAAAACUCUCAUUUGGAAUUCAGUCAAAAGAGCAAGUUUAGAGAAUUCUCAACAUUCUUUAGCACUUCUGCUAGCAGUUACAUGCUACAGCAUACAAGCUCUGUAAAUACAUGUGGCAGCCCAGGAGCUGAGUGUCAUGGUAUACAACACUUAACAAGAGAGCUCCCCAGGACCUCCCAAAUUGACAACUCUGAACAGUUUCUGUAAUUCCUAUUCAGGACUGAAGCAGAUUAAAUCUUUUAGAGAUUUAAAUACACAUGCACCAAAGAAUAUCUUGUUUAUGCAGUGUUACAGGUGCUCCUCAAAGCUGUGGCAUGGCUGUAGUGCUCAUUCAUAUCACAGGAUGUAUUACUUUCUGGGUUCUGAACAUCUUUCUGUCUUGUUGAAUCUCCUGGGUCAGAAAUGAGUGAGGUUAGGAAGAGUUCCAAAAUACAGCACAGGAAAUUCAGGAGGUAUAAAUUGGAUCUGGAAAUUAAGUUUGUGAUCUAAUAUGCUGCUGACAUAUCAGCAAUGAUGUAAGAGAAAUUAAAUCAUAUAUCCUGGCUCUCCGUGUCUUUGGAGGUGCCACAGUAAGCCUCAGGUCCCAGUCAAAUUUUCAUCUGAAUGGUUUUAUUCAGCCUCAUAAGCUCCCACAGACACUUUGCUGGAUGUACCAUUCUAUCUAUCUAUUCCCACAGAACUACUGUGCAUAUAUUAAAGAAGUUUGUGGUUAGGACUGUGGUGUAUCAGAGUCAAGGUCCCCACUAAGAGCACUGAGGAGUUCAAAUAAACUGCAGAGCCCAGCGAGCGUUUCUGCCAUGGGUAACUGACUGCUGCAGGACAUCCUGGGUCAACUUCCAUUGCAAGUCACCCUGUCAGAGUGGGCUUGAUUGGCAAGGCAGGACUGGGUGUUUCCACACCUGGCAUUUGGAAGUGGCAAAAAUAUUUGCACUAGUUGGAUUUUACUGAGUCCAUCUUCAGGGGUGGUACACUAAGCCAGAAAAAACUCGUGACUCUUUUGGUGUAAAGGUGUGUCAGAACUGCCUUUGGAUAGAGAAAAGCAGUUGCUGGCAGUCCUAGACAGCUGCUGUUUAAGAAUGUCUGUAGCUAUGUAACACAGGUGGCAUUACCAGGAAACCCAUGUGGAAAUCCUAGGGAGGAAAAAAAGGUAUUUUAAAUGCCCCAAAUUAGAUAUGACCAACAGCAAUUCUGUGGGCCUGGGGAACCAGCUGAUUCCUGCACAGGCAGGACAAACAGUUCUUGAGAUGACUGAACAGUGUGUAAUUUUCUUUUUCAGCCAUGGAAAGAUUUGCUCUGAUACUUAAAGGCAGACUGAGGGCCUCUGUGUGCAGACAGAGGGAGAAAUGCUGCAGCUGGACAACAUCACUCUGCUCCUACAGCUUGAGCACAGCAGCACUGUGUACCCGGAGCUUGCAGUGCUGUCACCAAGAGGGAAAAGCAUUUGGUUGAACUGUGUUUCAAGCAUAAUGGAGACAAAAGCCCAAAACUGCCUGCUCCAGAGAGGCUGAACGGGAUUAUUUUGUAACUUCUUUGUAGAAAACAGUGGAUCAUAAAGAAAGAAAGAAAAAGACAUUUAAGAAGACAACACUGCUAAUUGUUUUACAGUGUGAAAAACUGGAAAGCUACUGGAAGGGAGAGCAUGACAUGAAGGAAAGCAAAAGGAAAAAGAUGGAAUUCGAUUGUGCUAUGAAACUGAGGUGCAAUGAGGGAAGAAUGGGCAUAGCAUUCUCUGAAUCACUUGACGGUUCUGCAGUAGGCACUGUUCACUGACACACUAGGACAGCUUUCAGCAAAGUGCAACAUGAUGCAAAGAUUUUGCCUUAGGAUGAACUUGUAAGAAGUGGCAGCUGUUGCCUCACUAUUUGCAAAUGACAUUAUUAAAAGGCAUCACAUCGUAA